rnacentral:lncRNA from 1 species
UGCCCCAGAGCUGGGUCUCAGCCAGCCUUAGGGACAGUGUCAGGGCAGGGGACCCAUUGGUGGCACCUCCUGCUCCUCUCCUGACCCACAAGGCUGUGACAGAGGAGCCCCGUGUGCCACUGCCACCUUCACCCAGGGCAUACGGUAGGCACAGUCUCUAAAGACAUCCUUACAAGUUAAUUAAUUAUGUUUACAUUAUUUGAUCAUGUACAGAAUUUAAUAUAUUCUAUUAUAUAUAAUCUUUCUUGAAUGCUUUUUUAAAAAAGGAUUAUUUGGUCAGGAUCAUUACCGCAUUCCUUUUAUAAACACCACCUCUCCUUUCAGGCAUCUUUCAAAUCCUUGGAAACUGAUUGCAAAUGGCUCUUUAACCCCUGAACCCCCAGUUCAGCACGUGGUGUGAGGGACCCAGAGGCAGGAGCAAACUGGGGCCUCUGCACCCCAGGAAAGGGAGAAAGGGAAGGGUCCUGGCUCUUUCAGGCAUCUGACCUCCAGGAACGGGAGACAGGGAUGGAGUCCUGGGUUCUCCAGGUGUCUGACCUCCAGGAAAGGGAGAAAGGGAAGGGUUCCUGGUUCUUCCAGGCAUCUACCCUUCAGGCACAGAUCCAGCAGCACACCAGCAUGCCGGGCAGCAGUGGGGCAUUUGGAGAUGGGAUUCUCCCAUGCUGUGGUCCCUGAGUCCCCUGCGGUGUCACAGACACUGGCUGGCCAUCAGUGUGACGGGAGAGCCCCAGCAGCAGGAGGGAAGUGUCCCCUUGUCCCCAGAACAGGAGGGAAAUGUCUCCUUGUCUCCAGCAGCAGGAGGGAAGUGUCCCCAGCACUGGAAGGAGGUGUCCCCUUAGGGCAAUACAACAUCCCCUUGUCCCCAGCACAGGAGGGAAGUGUCCCUAUGUCCCCAGCACUGGAGGGAAGUGUCCCUUUGUCCCCAAACUGCAGGAGAGAAUUGUCCCUGUGUCCCCAGCAGCAGGAGGGAGGUGUCCCUUUGUACCCAAAAGAGAAGGGAGGUGUCCCAGCACAGGAGAGAAGUGUCCCUGUGUCCCCAGAAGGAGGAGGGAAGUGUC